ACUGCAUAAUCAGAAGGUGACUCUGCUGCUUUAUAUGGGAUUACAUCAAAGUAAGUUCAGCAUGACGGCAAAAGCAAGGUACUCUGUUACUGAAAAAACUAAUGAUCUUAAAAAAUUGCCUUCCCAUGGUGGGAAAGCAGUAACCUGCAAAGCAGCAAUAUGGAACCAUGGAAGUUUUCAGACUGAAGUUUCUAGGUGAAUUGCUGCCAAAUGCAAAUGCUGGUUGACCUUCAGGGAUAACCUCCUCAGACUGCAAGAACGGUCCAUUCCAACAUGCGUGAGAGAAGGCCAGCACAGGCGAAGAACGGAGCUCCUGGCUGAGCUCAAACACAAAAACGAAGGACACUGAAGGUAGACGAAGUGACAGGCUACUUGGGAGGACAAAGAUGUUGCUCGGUCAUGUAGGAAUGGAGCUGUGAAAGCCAAAGCUCAGCUGGCACUGAAACUAGCACAGGAGAUGAAGGCAACAAGAAAAGUUACUAUAAUUGCGCUGUUGGGAGCAGGAAGGUCAGGGAUAGUGUGGGCCCAUUGCUCAGUGGGACAGGGGACCUAGUGACAAGGGACAUGGAAAAGGCUGAGGUACCCAGUGCCUUUUUUACCUCAGUUUUCACUAUAAGGCUAAUCCUCAGACCCUGCCCAGGUGCUGGAACUGCCUAGCAAAGGCUGGGGAAUGAAGCAGUGCCCACUGCAGAGGAAGAAAGAGUUAAGGAUCACUUAACCCACUUGGACAUACCUAUUCCAAUAAAUUCUCCUUUGGUAACUGGAUAUUUUUACAGCAUUAUGCAAAGGCCAGUAAUAACAGCACCAUCACAUCAUAUCUAUUGGUGUUUAUAUGAGAAAGGAAAUAGCUACCGUAUUUAGGAAUGCUUAUUGUUUACUCAAGAGAUGCUGCUUCGCCUUUGUGUUGAAAUGUCAGCUCACUGACGUAAACCAGCUUGGAGCAGAAUUCAGCAUUGAUGUUACUUAUCAGAUAAGCAAUAAUAUGGAGGACAUGAAUUCCUUAAGAAUAAUCCUGGCUGUGUGCCUAAGGACACUGCAGAAUUUUGAAAUUCAACAUGGCAUCUGUUACGGGGGUGGGUGACUUUUUAAUUAGGUGUGCUAUUGGAUCUGGAUCAAGGCAUCACAGGAGAACCCUUGGUGAUAAAAACUGGAGCUUGAAACCUGCAGUCCCAGGGUAGACAACGAAUUUUGCCAGCACAGCAGCACUUCCGAUAAUCUAAUCUAGGUCUGCAUUUGGGGCAUAAUGAAACCACAAGGCUGAUCUUCUGCUGGUGUUAAUGAACAUAUCCCAACAGACGUCUAGCUUCAUGGAACAAAUAUCCUACUUUUAGCCACCAUAAACAACUGGGCUUUCAUAAUUUCUGAAAUACAUUUCAGCCCAAAUAUGCUGUAUGAUGUUUUGGGAGGUGAACUGCUUUCUUUUCAAGCUUGAACCUUGGGUACAAUAAAGAAUUUAAGGUUCCCCUUUUUUAGUUACUCGUUUAUCAUAUGGCAUAGUUAAAAGUCUCUUGCCUUUCUCCAUCUGAUUCCCACAUGGAGAGUGUAGCCAAAGCAGAGGCCUCUGAUACAUGUAAAUUUUAAAUAUAUUUAGGGUUAAUAUAUUAAUUAAUUAAUUAGAAAUGUUAAUAUUAGCUUGCCUUAUACCCAAAUACAAGCUUACUAAAAUGAUGUAACUAAAAACAGUAUUUUGCAAUAUUUUCAUGACAUAACCAAACACAAUAAAUAAAAACAAUUUUAGAUACAGUGCUUUCUGGACAAGUUUAGUAUUUCAGCACUUUUAUUAUAUAAUCAUAACUGGGGAAAAGACAUUAAAUUUACUUGUUGCAAAUUGAUUUUGAAGAGCUGAUGAAUUUUCAGUAUUCUUAAAAAAAAACCCUAGAUAUUUAAUGCUCUUCUCAGUAUGCAAGACUACUUAUGAGUGAAGGCUGAAAUAUCAGUCUCCAGACAUUGCUUAUAAUAUAGAUAAACAUUUAUCACAAUUAUGUGCACAUGGAGUUGUGAAACUGCAUUUUUUUGCACCUUGUGUGGUCUGAUCAAUGACAACAAAACACAUCGCAUGUAAAACAUAAAGUGGACUGUCUAUGGAUGGUGGGUUGGCAAAUAAAGCAACAGUGAUGUUCAAGCAAAAAAAUUCCACUAUUCUGAAUUGAAGGUAGAUUCCACCUCAGUAACACAGACUGCUAUUACUGGGAUGCUAUGAGGGAGUACUUCCAUAAAAGGUAACGUAUGUGAGAAAGUGAAAAUCCUGCGCUUGCAAGGACACUUAGACAACAUGGGUAAUGUAUGAUUUUUUUGCAGCAAAGUAGGUAUGAAAUGUUGGUAUGUAGAAAGAUGGUGGAAAGAAUUUGCCAUUUUCACAGCUUCUUACAUUAGUUAUUUCUAUGUCAAUUUACAUCUGGCAUCUUUGCCUACAUCUGUGUAUUCUCCAGAGUUUACAUUUAUAGAAUCUUAUCAUUUUUUUCUAGUGUAUUGGCAAAUAGAAAAUACUGGGAAAGUUAUGGUAGAUCUAGUUAUUUCCUUUUUUUAAUUACUGGUAUCUCUUUUUAUUAAAAAUAUUGAGAUAUUUGAUCCAAUGGUUUUCUUCAAAGAAAAAUCCUAUCAAAAUAAAAUAAUUUAUCCUCAA